rnacentral:rRNA from 1 species
CAGUAGCCGCGGGAAUACGAAGGGUGCAAGCGUUACUCGGAAUUACUGGGCGUAAAGCGUGCGUAGGUGGUGGUUUAAGUCCGUUGUGAAAGCCCUGGGCUCAACCUGGGAAUUGCAGUGGAUACUGGGUCACUAGAGUGUGGUAGAGGAUAGUGGAAUUUCCGGUGUAGCAGUGAAAUGCGUAGAGAUCGGAAGGAACAUCUGUGGCGAAGGCGACUAUCUGGGCCAACACUGACACUGAGGCACGAAAGCGUGGGGAGCAAACAGGAUUAGAUACCCCCUUAGUCCCUGUCUCUUAUAC